CAGUAGCCACGGUAAUACGGAGGAUCCAAGCGUUAUCCGGAAUCAUUGGGUUUAAAGGGUCCGUAGGCGGUCUUGUAAGUCAGUGGUGAAAGCCAAUCGCUCAACGGUGGAACGGCCAUUGAUACUGCAGGACUUGAAUUAUUGGGAAGUAACUAGAAUAUGUAGUGUAGCGGUGAAAUGCUUAGAGAUUACAUGGAAUACCAAUUGCGAAGGCAGGUUACUACCAAUUGAUUGACGCUGAUGGACGAAAGCGUGGGUAGCGAACAGGAUUAGAUACCCCAGUAGUCCCUGUCUCUUAUAC
rnacentral:rRNA from 1 species